rnacentral:misc_RNA from 1 species
CCAAAUGCAGCAUCAUGACGCUGUGUUGCACGUGUAGGCGUUCUGUUUGUAUUUUGUUCGUAUUCGUCAUCACACAAGUGCUACGAACUUGCCUACUUGGCUUCAUCAUUGAAUCGUGUCUGCUGAGAAGUGUUCUAAUUUCUGCCAAGUCUGUUUGUCUAAUUUCUACCAAGUCUAUUGUCAUCAUUGAAUCGUGUCGGCUGAGAAGUGUUCUAAUUUCUACCAAGUUUGUUGUCCAAUUUCAGGAGAGGAGACGGACACUAGACAUCACCUUGAACCAAGGAGCCAAACAACAAAUCUCAUAGGUGGAAUUGAGAAUCUGAGAUACUGGCAUCGAUUAUCUUACAACUCGAAGAAAUCUGAGAUCGACUUUUAGUUGAGCUGUAGACAGCGGUGAAUAUUUGCGCUGUGGGAAAUCAGAGUUGUAGUUUGACUCAACCUUCAUAUGCUUGCAUCCUGAGGGGUUUUGUUGGUGUUGAGUAGAUGACGUCACUGCCGUCCACAGGCACGCUGCCGUGAACAGCCUUCAACUUAAUGGCACUCUGCCCAUCUCAAAACGAAAAAAAGGACACCCUACUGCUUCUGCUCUAGGCAAGGUGGGGACCAGAACCAACCCACUCCGCAAUCAUGCUUCACCAACACAGACACGCACUGUGCGUGCUCCUAUAUCUGAUGUUACUAUGGCUCACAAACUGUACCUGGGUCAGUGCUGGAAGGACUGGACGCAGGGGUCAAGGGUCACUGAGGUCACAACCUCAAUCCCGCCCCAGAUACUUGAGAAACAGAAAACCAAACAUAGUACUUGUCAUAACAGAUGACCAAGAUUUACUUUUAGGUUCUAUGAGUGCAAUGAACAAAACCCAGAUGGUGUUAGGUGACAGUGGGGCUAACUUCAUCAAUGCCUUUGUGACCACACCCAUCUGCUGUCCGUCGCGCAGUAGCAUCUUGACUGGCCAGUACGUUCACAACCACCAUGUUUACUCCAACACGGAGCACUGCGGCUCCUUGGCCUGGCAAGGAGGACCUGAGAGGCGUACCUUUGCUGCGUAUCUGAGGAGCGUUGACUACAGAACAGGGUAUUUUGGUAAAUACUUAAACAAUUACAACGGUACUUACGUGCCACCUGGCUGGACAGAGUGGGUUGGACUGUUGCAGAAUUCCAAGUACUACAACUACACCCUAAGUCGCAAUGGACAGCUGUAUGAUCAUGGAUUCAAUUAUUACAGGGACUAUCUGCCUGACCUGAUAGCCAAUGACAGCCUGGCAUUCUUUAAGAUGUCCAAGAGGACGUAUCCAGACAACCCUAUCGCCAUGGUAUUGUCCUUCCCAUCACCCCAUGGGCCAGAGGAUGGAGCACCACAGUAUCAGGGGCUGUUUGAGGGGAACCGUCUUCACAGGACAGAGACAUGGAAUUAUAGCAACAAUAAUGACAAACACUGGCUCCUGCGUUACCCUGAUCCCCUGACGGAACAGGAGAUGGCAUUCACGGAUCUUCUUCAACGCAAGCGACUCAUCACAUUGGUGUCCGUGGAUGAUGCCAUUGCAAAGCUUUGCACAGAGCUAAGCGAGAUGGGUGAAUUGGACAACACGUACAUCAUCUUCACCUCGGAUCACGGCUACCACCUGGGCCAGUAUGCCCUUCCCAAGGGCAAAUCACUACCCUACGACUUUGAUCUCCGUGUUCCCUUCUACAUAAGGGGUCCAAGGAUCCCUCGCGGUGUCGAAGUUCCGAACAUCGUGUUGAACAUUGACCUAGCACCAACCAUGCUGGACAUGGCGGGGUUGAACAUCCCUCCAAACAUGGAUGGGGUGUCACUGCUGAAGCUUUUUAAUCCGGCUGACUACCGGAUAAAAGGCAGAAGCAGAAACCGGAGAUUGCGCUACGUUGGAGUUGACCCCUGGCGAACCAGUUUCCUAGUUGAGAAAACACGUUCCCCGGAAGACUUGGCACGUUUGCAGAAAAGGCAGUUUCAGGCACGUGGGAGGAAGGGGGACCGACUACGGCAACAGUGCAAGGAACCAGAGUUCCAGUCACCAUGCAAACCAUUCCAGGAUAAAGAAUGCGUACUGGAUGAAGUCACCGGUGAGGUCAAGAUUCGUAAGUGUCGGCGUCCGCCUAAGAUUCGCUGUCGUUGCAUGCGGGUGAUUCCAAGUAGCCCCAACGAGGAAGGCCUCGCCAACGGCAGACGGUUCCGACUUAGGGAUAGGCCCCCAGUCAGUGACGCGGCGCUGACCAGAGAGGAAAAGAGACAACAGAGGGACUUCAUCCAGGAACACGUCAAGGAAGCCAACCCUCCAUUCCGGUUCAUUCGGAACAGACGUGACCAUACACCCAAGGAAGAUCCAGCCGUGUUUACUUUGGACAAUCUGGACGAACCAGACGAGGAGAAUAUCUUGAUUGAUCCAAAGUGUGAAGUGUACAAGAAUGACACAGUCAUGUGUGAUAAUGAGAUUUUUGAAUCCCGCAAGGCCUGGGUUAACCACCGCAAGCUGAUCGCAGCCCGUGUCCGUCUCCUCCGCAAGCACCUCAACGACUUGAUUGAGAUCAAGGAAUUCCUGAAAGACACCAACCCAUAUUACCCAGAGAAGCCCAGGGUCGAAUUGCCCCUCCCGGCAAGGCUGGACAGCAGACGGGAGAAGCCGGCAAAGGUCUGCCGGUGUGACAACAUCGAAGGGGAGCUGUCAGAGAAAGCCGCCAGAGAGCUGGAGAGACUAGGGGAUGUCUAUGUUGAGAACAGAGGGGACUAUGAAAUCAGUGAAGGUCCCACUGCAUCCCGUUACACAAGGAGUACCUCGGCCACUGAAAGGACGACAGAACAGAACAGCGUCCUGGACAUGAACACCGACGGCUUAUCUCGGCGACAGCGGAAGAUCCAAUCCAAGCAGAUGUGCAGUGUUCAGGGCAUGAAGUGUACCUCGCACGACAACGAUCACUGGCGGGUGCCGCCAUAUUGGACAUUGGGUCACAUGUGCCUGUGUUUGAACGCAGUCAACAAUACGUAUCAGUGUCUACGCUAUCUCAAUGAAACUCAUAACUUCCUUUAUUGUGAAUAUGUCACCAAUUUCCUGGAAUACUUUGACAUGAGGCCUGGCCAUGAUCCAUACCAGAAAGUUAAUGCCAUCAAUGACAUCACAGACAACUACCGAAGGUUUAUGAGAGACGAGCUUGAAAAUUACAGACAUUGCAGUGGGGCUAGCAAUUGUACAGCACUGUACCCGACACCAAACCAUCAUGGGAAAACAGCAUUCACUCGCACAUGAUUUUAGGCCAUUUUGAUGUCACACAAUAAAAGAAUUGCAUCGCUCGGCAGGAAGACAAGAUAAAAUCCCAAAAUCUGAAAGCCACCUCUGGAAGAAAUUCAACAAGCGAAGAAAAUCGCCCCGGCGACACUCCA